UUUUAUUGAAGCUUCGGCAGAUUUAGAUUGUUUCUAGUGGCGGACGGGUGAGUAACGCGUGGGUAACCUACCUUAUACAGGGGGAUAACAGUCAGAAAUGACUGCUAAUACCGCAUAAGCGCACAGAGCUGCAUGGCUCGGUGUGAAAAACUCCGGUGGUAUAAGAUGGACCCGCGUUGGAUUAGCUAGUUGGUGAGGUAACGGCCCACCAAGGCGACGAUCCAUAGCCGGCCUGAGAGGGUGAACGGCCACAUUGGGACUGAGACACGGCCCAGACUCCUACGGGAGGCAGCAGUGGGGAAUAUUGCACAAUGGGGGAAACCCUGAUGCAGCGACGCCGCGUGAAGGAAGAAGUAUCUCGGUAUGUAAACUUCUAUCAGCAGGGAAGAAAAUGACGGUACCUGACUAAGAAGCCCCGGCUAACUACGUGCCAGCAGCCGCGGUAAUACGUAGGGGGCAAGCGUUAUCCGGAUUUACUGGGUGUAAAGGGAGCGUAGACGGAUGGACAAGUCUGAUGUGAAAGGCUGGGGCUCAACCCCGGGACUGCAUUGGAAACUGCCCGUCUUGAGUGCCGGAGAGGUAAGCGGAAUUCCUAGUGUAGCGGUGAAAUGCGUAGAUAUUAGGAGGAACACCAGUGGCGAAGGCGGCUUA
rnacentral:rRNA from 1 species